GAUCGCGGCGACGUGGGCGGUUCGCUGCCCGGCGACGAUCGCGAGWAAGUCCACUGAACCUUAUCAUUUAGAGGAAGGAGAAGUCGUAACAAGGWUUUCCGUAGGUGAACCCUGCGGAAGGAUCAUUGUCGAU
rnacentral:rRNA from 1 species